rnacentral:rRNA from 1 species
GAUCCUGGCUCAGGAUAAACGCUGGCGGCGCACAUAAGACAUGCAAGUCGAACGAACUUAACCAUUAGUUUACUAUUGGAGCGGUUAGUGGCGGACUGGUGAGUAACACGUAAGCAACCUGCCUAUCAGAGGGGAACAACAGUUAGAAAUGACUGCUAAUACCGCAUAUGCCUUAGAAUCACAUGGUUCAAAAGGGAAAGGAGUAAUCCGCUGAUAGAUUGGCUUGCGUCUGAUUAG